ACUCUUCCAAGACAUAAGUAUGAUAUGGUCUCACCUGGUGAACAUCCCUUCUGUAGCCAGAAUCAUUGUUGCUUCCUCCAAUUACAUAGAGCUUUCCCAGCAGUGCAGCCAUGCCAUGCCAAGCACGUCUCUCUGGACCAUCUGCUAAAACUUCCCAGCGGUCAGUCUUUGGAUCAUAACAUUGCAGCUCCUUCAAAUAAUCUUCUCCUCUCCUCCCACAGGUAAUAUACAUCUUCCCAUCCAGUGCUGCUCCAGCGUGUGCAUAUACCUGCAUCACCACGUGGGAAAGCAAGAGUUUGAGUGAGAGGCUCCUAUCUUUUUUGCCAGCAAGCAUACAGACUGCACUAAAGGCUUACUGACUCAGAGAUGGGCAACAGGGUGGAAAUAAGAAUAGUAGCAGGAUUAUCCUUAUCUUACCUCCAACACCUUGACUCUGCUCGAAAACCACUUACAUUGUUGUCUCCACCAAUUAAAUAUACAAAAUUAUUGAGAACAGCAAUCCCCUGGUUGGACAUUCUGGGGGCUAGUGCAGCUGUAAAGUGCCUCCACUCUCCCAACAGGGGGUUCAGAUACUUGGCUUGAUCACUGAGAACAAUGGAUGGAGUAGAAUGCAUCCCUCCAAAUCCCACUACACACUGGAACUCUGAUCUCAGCUGUGUCUGGGAGCUCUGGAGCAUUGGCUGAAGACAUUCAUUCUUGUGGUACAUUAGUGCAUCUGCGACUGUAUCUUUUAAAGGACAUGGACUUAAUUUGUCAUGAAGCCUUUGCAGGAUCUGGGGUUCCAUCAGAGGAAAACGAACUGUCUCAAGUAGCUUAAGGGGCUCCAUCAGGGAGACCUGAUCUGUCUCCAGUUGCUCUGGAGAAUAAUGAUAAAAAAGUGCACCAUCAUAAACUUCAAAUUCAUAGUUAACCUCCAAACGGUUGCUACUGAGAAGGGAGUAGACCUUCUGCAAGGGUAGCUGUCGGUACGCUUGUGUCCUUGAGAAAGCUGCAAAGUUCUUCAAAAUGUAGGAGUCCAGCUGGUCGCUCAAGUGUCUCAAGUCAUAAUGGUCAGCUAGUUUGUAUACAUCGAGGAUGUUCUCUUCAUCUACCCAGGACAUUAGAAAAUCACAACAGAACUUAAUGACUUCUGGAAUCUGCAAGAGAGAGAGAGCUUUUAUUUCAGACACCAUUUGCCUUACGUUCAAGAUACAGAUGACAGAAGCACAGAACAGGAAGCUUCCAAAAACUGUAAAAAAAUUGUUGACAAGAAAAUUGCCCUUCUCACAGAGUCUGAGCACCGUGUUCACCUUUCACCAGAGAAAAAUCACAACUCAACAUGGGUACGUAGAUGAAUAUAACCCAGAUCUUCUAGCCACACUAUACUGCAAGCCUUUGAGUUUUGCUUCUUGUGUAGCAGCAAUGCAUCUUGUGGGGCACAUGGGAUACUGAACAGCCAGGCUGCCUCAUUUGUUAGCAUGAGAGAUGCAGGCUGCCUGGGAGGCAGUCAUGGAAACAGAAGGCAUGAAGGACAUGGUAACAGCUGCUCCUUCAGUUGCUCUCCCAGAGCACUACAGACACACUAUAUCACAGAUUGUAACUAUAACAAAA
rnacentral:lncRNA from 1 species